GGGGAUGUAGCUCAAAUGGUAGAGUGCUCGCUUUGCAUGCGAGAGGCACGGGGUUCAUCUCCA
rnacentral:tRNA from 1 species